GAUGAACGCUGGCGGCGUGCCUAAUACAUGCAAGUCGAGCGAACGGACGAGAAGCUUGCUUCUCUGAUGUUAGCGGCGGACGGGUGAGUAACACGUGGAUAACCUACCUAUAAGACUGGGAUAACUUCGGGAAACCGGAGCUAAUACCGGAUGAUAUUUUGAACCGCAUGGUUCAAAAGUGAAAGACGGUCCUGCUGUCACUUAUAGAUGGAUCCGCGCUGCAUUGGCUAGUUGGUAAGGUAACGGCUUACCAAGGCAACGAUGCAUAGCCGACCUGAGAGGGUGAUCGGCCACACUGGAACUGAGACACGGUCCAGACUCCUACGGGAGGCAGCAGUAGGGAAUCUUCCGCAAUGGGCGAAAGCCUGACGGAGCAACGCCGCGUGAGUGAUGAAGGUCUUCGGAUCGUAAAACUCUGUUAUUAGGGAAGAACAUAUGUGUAAGUAACUGUGCACAUCUUGACGGUACCUAAUCAGAAAGCCACGGCUAACUACGUG
rnacentral:rRNA from 1 species